rnacentral:rRNA from 1 species
UACAGAGGGGGCAAGCGUUGUUCGGAAUUACUGGGCGUAAAGGGCGCGUAGGCGGCCUGCUAAGUCGAACGUGAAAUCCCCGAGCUCAACUCGGGAACUGCGUCCGAUACUGGCAGGCUUGAAUCCGGGAGAGGGAUGCGGAAUUCCUGGUGUAGCGGUGGAAUGCGCAGAUAUCAGGAGGAACACCGGUGGCGAAGGCGGUUCUCUGGGCAUUACCUGACGCUGAGGAGCGAAAGCAUGGGGAGCGAACAGG